GGAGGGGGGAGCUGGCGAUGGAGGACGACUCGGAUACAAGAAACAGAAAAGGGAUUCAAAACGGGGUCCUCUAGUGGUCUCUCCUGCCACUCUCGAUCAUAGCAGCCACCAGCCUCGACGCAGCUCCUGGUCCGGCAUUCGUCUGUCCCCGGGCCCAGUGGAACAGCAUGUCCAGCACCAAGGCUCCCAGGUUGUCCCUGGAUGUGUCACUAGAGUUUUUUUUAGCAUGGGGAGCAGUGGGAGGGACAGAUGAGCAUCAGUCUGUAUGUAAUCUCCUGCAGUGUCCCAGAUGGCUUAGUGAUGGCUGACAGUGCAGAUUAAAACAAUCAAAAUCCUCUACCAUUUCUCUCCCACUGCAGUAUUCCUUCACUCACAUUACAUCUCUCCAAUUCCCUCUUAUGCCCUUAGAGGCUUUGGUUGUGCCAACACGCAUUUGUGCACACACUGUUUACGUCAUUCACUCAUGUAGAGAUGCUUUAAACAGAAAAUGUACAUUUUUAUCUAAAUCUCUUGUGAGUUU